CCCAGUGUUCAGGUGUGUUCACAAGUCUGUGAUCGUGUACGUAGACGCCAUGUUGACUGUGUCAGCCUGUCGCAGCAAUUCGUCAACAUCGCCACCAUAUUGGAAAAGAUAAGACUUACCAGUGAACAAAUUCAGAUCAUUUAACUUGAAGACCACAUCUAUAAUGCAUCAUGAAGCUCUUCAUAGUGUCAUGAGCCCAUUGUCGGUGAGUGACCUCCCUCUGACUGUCAGCUGAGCUCAGGUGAGGAGAGGACAAACAGGAAGUGAGUUGAGUGAAGGAGGAGCUAAAGUCCAGAGGGAGUGAGACCAAACCAACUUGUUCCAUCAGGAAAAUCCAACAUCUCCACACUUACGGGGUUUUCAGCUGACAGCAGCAGUGACGUGAGCUCACCCUACUCCUGCCUGCAGCCAAUCACAGCGCUUCUCAACCUCCUCUUCCUGCUAUUGGCCGGGAAUGUCAACAGAGCGGUGUGUUUCACGUGCAGCAGCAGCAGGUCAGCGAACGCCUCAUGAACAGAACCUGAACACAGCACGAGGGAUUUAAAGGGCCAGUCCGUCACGUCAUCAAAACAUCAGCCUGGAUCAGUAGGAACAAUAUUUACAGUAAUGUGAUUGUUGUAAUGUGAUUACUUCUCAAUAAGUAAUACUUGAUUAUAAGGGUCACCUGUCAGUCAUCCUGAGAGUGACAGCAGCUGUGUCCAAUCCUGUGGCUUUAGGCUUGGUGGUGGGCGGAGCUUCACUUUAAUUGGAUCUUAUAUUGUAGUAAACAUUGAUCAUUAUCAAACCAAUCAUAAUUUAAUAACGUAAUAUUGAAAUACUUAUUGAUUAGUAUGAGAAUAAUUAUAUUUCAGAACAAUGAUAUUAGAGUAAAUAUUGAUUAAUAUCAGGACAGUGAUGUGG